rnacentral:rRNA from 1 species
GGCAUGGCGCGACCGUGUCUGGUGCCGCAGGGAAGCCGUGAAGCGAGCCACCUGGGAAGUACGGCCGCAAGGCUGAAACUUAAAGGAACUGGCGGGGGAGCACAACAACGGGUGGAGCCUGCGGUUUAAUUGGACUCAACGCCGGACAACUCACCGGGGGCGACAGCAAUAUGUAGGCCAAGCUGAAGACUUUGCCUGAAUCGCUGAGAGGAGGUGCAUGGCCGUGGCCAGUUCGUACUGUGAAGCAUCCUGUUAAGUCAGGCAACGAGCGAGGCCCGUGCCCACUGUUACCAGCAUAUCCUUCGGGACGAUGGGUACUCUGUGGGGACCGCCGGUGUCAAAUCGGAGGAAGGUGCGGGCCACGGUAGGUCAGUAUGCCCCGAAUCUCCCGGGCUACACGCGGGCUACAAUGAAUGGGACAAUGGGUCCCUUCCCUGAAAAGGGUUGGCAAUCUCACAAACCCAUCCUUAGUUCGGAUCGAGGCUGUAACUCGCCCUCGUGAAGCUGGAAUCCGUAGUAAUCGCGUUUCAAUAUAGCGCGGUGAAUACGUCCCUGCUCCUUGCACACACCGCCCGUCAAACCACCCGAGUGAGGUAUGGGUGGGGGCACAGACACCGUGCUGUGUUCGAACCUGAAUUUUGCAAGGGGGGUUAAGUCGUAACAAGGUAGCC